rnacentral:lncRNA from 1 species
GUGAGCAGGUGCACUCGCGGGCCCCAGGCAGCCUGGGAGGCCGCUGCCAAGACACGCAGUGGGUUGUCCGGGGCCUGUACAGCUGAGAGGAGGGAGCCAGCGGGCACGCGUGUGCGUGUGUAGGGGGUGUAACUGUUUCUGUUACAGACUUGCCAGAUGUAGGGGGGCGCGUACCAGGCGCCAACAUCCCCUUAUCACACCACGCGCACCCAUCCUCUGAAUGUUCAGGAGAGCGGCUCCUAUUGGCUGCCGCAGUCGGUUGUGUUUGGCUGGCCAAUGGGGAAGGCCCGCCGCGGGAGAGGGCCACACAGAGGCUAGGAGAAGGGGGGGAAGCUAGUGGUGGCAGUUCCAGCAAAAGGGGACUUUGUUUACGGGGCUAGCCAUUACUGGCCCAGGUGGAGGAUCUUGGGACAAUGGCAUAAGCUC